rnacentral:rRNA from 1 species
UAGGGAAUCUUCCGCAAUGGACGCAAGUCUGACGGAGCAACGCCGCGUGAGUGAAGAAGGUUUUCGGAUCGUAAAGCUCUGUUGUUAAGGAAGAACGAGUGUGAGAAUGGAAAGUUCAUACUGUGACGGUACUUAACCAGAAAGGGACGGCUAACUACGUGCCAGCAGCCGCGGUAAUACGUAGGUGGCAAGCGUUGUCCGGAUUUAUUGGGCGUAAAGCGAGCGCAGGCGGUCAAUUAAGUCUGAUGUGAAAGCCCCCGGCUCAACCGGGGAGGGUCAUUGGAAACUGGUUGACUUGAGUGCAGAAGAGGAGAGUGGAAUUCCAUGUGUAGCGGUGAAAUGCGUAGAUAUAUGGAGGAACACCAGUGGCGAAGGCGACUCUCUGGUCUGUAACUGACGCUGAGGCUCGAAAGCGUGGGUAGCAAACAGG